rnacentral:rRNA from 1 species
GGGUUGUGAGGUUAAGCGACUAAGCGUACACGGUGGAUGCCCUGGCAGUCAGAGGCGAUGAAGGACGUGCUAAUCUGCGAUAAGCGUCGGUAAGGUGAUAUGAACCGUUAUAACCGGCGAUUUCCGAAUGGGGAAACCCAGUGUGUUUCGACACACUAUCAUUAACUGAAUCCAUAGGUUAAUGAGGCGAACCGGGGGAACUGAAACAUCUAAGUACCCCGAGGAAAAGAAAUCAACCGAGAUUCCCCCAGUAGCGGCGAGCGAACGGGGAGCAGCCCAGAGCCUGAAUCAGUGUGUGUGUUAGUGGAAGCGUCUGGAAAGGCGCGCGAUACAGGGUGACAGCCCCGUACACAAAAAUGCACAUACUGUGAGCUCGAUGAGUAGGGCGGGACACGUGGUAUCCUGUCUGAAUAUGGGGGGACCAUCCUCCAAGGCUAAAUACUCCUGACUGACCGAUAGUGAACCAGUACCGUGAGGGAAAGGCGAAAAGAACCCCGGCGAGGGGAGUGAAAAAGAACCUGAAACCGUGUACGUACAAGCAGUGGGAGCCUCUUUAUGGGGUGACUGCGUACCUUUUGUAUAAUGGGUCAGCGACUUAUAUUCUGUAGCAAGGUUAACCGAAUAGGGGAGCCGAAGGGAAACCGAGUCUUAACUGGGCGUUAAGUUGCAGGGUAUAGACCCGAAACCCGGUGAUCUAGCCAUGGGCAGGUUGAAGGUUGGGUAACACUAACUGGAGGACCGAACCGACUAAUGUUGAAAAAUUAGCGGAUGACUUGUGGCUGGGGGUGAAAGGCCAAUCAAACCGGGAGAUAGCUGGUUCUCCCCGAAAGCUAUUUAGGUAGCGCCUCGUGAAUUCAUCUCCGGGGGUAGAGCACUGUUUCGGCAAGGGGGUCAUCCCGACUUACCAACCCGAUGCAAACUGCGAAUACCGGAGAAUGUUAUCACGGGAGACACACGGCGGGUGCUAACGUCCGUCGUGAAGAGGGAAACAACCCAGACCGCCAGCUAAGGUCCCAAAGUCAUGGUUAAGUGGGAAACGAUGUGGGAAGGCCCAGACAGCCAGGAUGUUGGCUUAGAAGCAGCCAUCAUUUAAAGAAAGCGUAAUAGCUCACUGGUCGAGUCGGCCUGCGCGGAAGAUGUAACGGGGCUAAACCAUGCAC